UGCAUCUGACGUGUGGGAUGACGUCACUACGCACGUAUUUUGAUUUUUACCAGUUGUUCAAGACAGACGGAUUCAGUCCCAAGAAGCUAAAGUUUUUCAAAGACAUUUGUAGGGAGGACUUUGCAGCUAAUGAUUUCCUACGGCUGAACCAAAACCUGCCAGACUAAAGUUGAUUUGGGAGAGAAAGACGUUGUAAACUUAAUUAGGGCUGCACGAUAAAUCGCAUGCGAUACCACGCGCAUCACGUCAGUAAUGCCGGUUCCUUGAUUAGUAUUAAAUCGCCAUCAGCUGUUUUCAGAUGGAGCAG